ACAUUGAAACUUGAAGCAUAUAGGCUACAGCAGCAGAAGACAACACCAGGUGCCCCUCCUGUCAGCUAACACAGGCUCAUCAAAACUGGACAACAGAGGAUUGGAAAAACUUUGCCUGGUCUGAUAGAGACAAGUCUUCUGGGCUGUUGGCAUUCAGCUCCAGCAGUGACAAGAAGAAAAAAAGGAGGAGGAGGAGGAAGAAGAAGAAGAAGAGCGCUGCUGUCAGUUCCUCUCCUCGUGCUCCACAGGACUGGAAGGACAAAAGCUUUCCCUGACAGGCCGAAUCACCCCUAUCUCUACCCUGCUGACGUGUCAUCACCCUGUGUCCUCACCAUACUGCCACGCAGAAGUGAAUGCUCAGGGCUACACGUGUUAAGCAGAUGUGUGGGAAUUGGAGAGAACAUCAAGGUUAAGACGAAAGGUGCCCAAAACCCCCCAGGCAACUCCGCUACCUGUCUCCCCAGGUGAGGAAUGAUGAUGAGAAAACGCGAGGCAACCAGCAGAGAUUUGCCAUGCUGGGCUGUAUGCGGCUGUGCUCGGGGGUGAAUCAAAACAGCCUGCACAGAGGAAUACUGGAGAUGCCUUCAUAUCUGUGCCACAUAGCCCAAAGCAAAGGAUGCAGCUGUUCUUAUGUGAGGCCUUUUUGCUUCACUGGUACAAUGAUCUUUUGGGAAACAGCCUCUAGUGGGCAGCUCCGGAUGAAUCUGAUGGCUGAGACAUGGCUGAAAUAGCUGAUAUGAUUUUGCAGACACAAACAGAGACUAUUUGUGUUACGCCCAUGCAUGCCAAGUGAAUGUAUGUACCGCACAUGCACACAAAUGUAACAUUUACUCAUGCUCACAUUAUCACAAAACAAACAAUGGCAUGCCAAGCACAGGCCUAGGCUGUGGUGUGUUUGCCAGUCUAUAAAAGGCACCUGCAAGCAUUGCAGGCAUUCAGGUUGUGAGAAAAGGUUACAAAAGUCAGUCCUUCAAAAUGCA